UACAGAGGGGGCAAGCGUUAUUCGGAAUUAUUGGGCGUAAAGGGCGCGUAGGCGGCUUUGCAAGUGGAAGGUGAAAUCCCUCGGCUUAACCGAGGAACUGCCCUCCAAACUGCUUCGCUUGAGACCGGGAGAGGUGAGUGGAAUUCCCAGUGUAGCGGUGAAAUGCGUAGAUAUUGGGAGGAACACCAGUGGCGAAGGCGGCUCACUGGACCGGUACUGACGCUGAUGCGCGAAAGCGUGGGGAGCAAACGGG
rnacentral:rRNA from 1 species